rnacentral:lncRNA from 1 species
CAGCGGCGGGGGGGGGGGGGGGGGCGGGGGGCAGGAAGGGGGCGUGGCGUGGCAGGGGUUAGGUGGGUGGGGCGUGGAGAGAGAACGUAAAGACCGUGAGCCAAACGGCCGUUUUUCAUUUUGCGGCGUUCUUGGCCGCCAUUCCUCCAGCUUUCUGGGCAGCGGUUACUCAAUUUCCGAUGUUCUGGUUCGGAUGCUAGAGCCGGGUCCAGUACUUUGGGAUAGGUUGGUCUGCAUCACUUGUCAUCAUUGCCCACUCCUCUACACUGGUCUGGUGAGUUCUGGAUGGGGUCACAGCCUUGAGUCUCGUGUGAACUCACUCUGUGCGGUUUCUGGCCUGCUUUACUAGUAUAGUACAUAAGUUGGCAAUCUCUGCUAGGCCUCUUAAUUGUGUAGGCUGGAGAAGGCCGCAGUUAGGCCGCGAACAGCUCCACAGCCACAACCGCUGUGCUUACGGACAGGGGUUGGGCAAGAGAAGUCCGGUAGAGGCAGAGAGGUCCUUCUUCCUCAGUUAUGGUGCGGGAGUGAGGCCUGGUGAAGGCUGCCAGUAAAGGCUACAGCCCCGCAUGCCCACUAAAGGAGAGGGUGUGAAAUCCGUGGUCGUGAGGCAAGAUGGCGGCUGUUUGGCGCCUGUUACCAGAGAUGAUUGAGAGUUGAAGGGAAAGGGAGCCACCACCGUUUUUAAUGUUGGAUUAGGAGGGAAAGUCCCUCUGUAGGCCGUGAGUAGAUGAAGUAGAGCUUACUGUAACAAGUGAUACUGUACAGCGGUGUACAUCAGGUACACCGAAUUGAUUUGUUAACUGUGCCCAGUUUACAGCAGUACCUAUCUUACUGGUUCACUCUGUUUACCUGGAGUAUGUGGCUACUAACAUUAAAAGCACAACUUUAUAGAAAGAAAGUUGCUGGUUCAGUUCUGUAAAACAGAAGUGCAACCUCAAAUAGGAAGCUCGAGAUGGGGGAGAGUAAAACUCAGUUUUCCAAUUUAUUGAAAACUAUUUCAAUAGGUCUGUUUAAAGUCUUACUGUUUUGACGAAGUCUUUGGGAAAAAGAUGUAUUUUAAGAAUUUAAAGUAAUGCAUAUAUAUGUGGUUUAAUGUUAGAUUGUUUAUUUCAUUUGAAAAGUCUUAACUUUACUCAAAGCACUUUUUUCUUUUACAUACUUACGUAUUUUGCUGGAAAAUCGGAAUCCUGUGUUUGUUCACUAUGAAAAAAGAUUCAGCAUGUAUCUGUCUUCUGAAAGUUCUGUGCUGAAAUUUCACCGGAAAAGAAAUCUUCCAUCAAGGAAAUGGUUCUGAAAUAGGAAGGCCUUUUCAUAAGGUUACUAAAGGAUGGGAAAGGUUUUGCUAAGUAGACAGAGGAGUAGAGGAAAUAAUUUAACAGACAGAAAUCUCUUCUGAGAACAAAUCUAGUUUGUCUAGAGUUGAUUUAUAGGUAGAAGUACUGUAUACAUUUAGACCAAAAGACCUAUAGUUAUGAAAGAUGUCACAAGAUUUGUUUGAUAUUCACAUAGUCCUGGCUAAAACCAGUUCUGGAUCUAUUGCAGGUGUGAUAAAGUUGAGUGAUAAUGGGAGCUAGAUAGUGAUAAUGCUAUUACUGGAAAUUUUUUUUUUUGCUAAGAAUAUUGCUUUUUAAGUGGUAAUCUCUUCUAGAGGAUAACUGUGUUCUUUAAAGUAGCAUAAGUAAUUAUCAUUGAAUUAGUAAAUUUAUCAUUGUCAAAACUACAGGGAUAAUUUGAAAAGUUUCUUUAAUUGUUCAGAAAUAAGUUAAUAAAAACAAUAAGUUUCACUGUACCUUAAAGUCUUCCUAAUCAUAUAAUCUUUUAUUACUUCUCACUUAAACUUUUAGAGCUCAUGCUUUAAUUUAAGGAUGACCUAGGUGUCACAAAGUUUCAAAAAUAAUGUGAAUGAGUGCUUAUUUCACAGUUUUGUGAUUUUAAAAAAGUUUUUUGUUUUCUUAGGUUGCAAAGUUAAAGUAGUGAUACUUCAUGAGCUAUUCAAGUAAAACAAAAUUCUUAAGUCAUUUAGACCAUGGUUUAGAAGAGGGCAUUGCAAAAGGCAGACUAGAAGCAAGUUAAAAAUGUGUUAUUUGUUG